rnacentral:rRNA from 1 species
UUAUACAAUGGAGAGUUUGAUCCUGGCUCAGGAUGAACGCUAGCGGCAGGCCUAAUACAUGCAAGUCGAACGGGCGG